CGGGGCUUGGAAUCACGAUGUUGUGGCCCCCGCUAGCGUCUAAGCGAGCGAUCACGGGGAUCUCCACACGCUCGCCGGUAUAGCCGCGCACCUCUAAAGUAGGCCGCCGAGGGAUGCCCGCAUCGCUCUCGGUGCUCCGAAUUUUAUGCGAGGGACGCGCUACACGCCGUGGAGGGGUAGGCUGAGUUGGGAACGGCCUAGAAAGUGUAGAACGCCA
rnacentral:ncRNA from 1 species